CUAGGAUAAAGGCAAAACUAUUGAAAAAUAGUGACGCAAAGCUUCAGGUCUUCGGUGCAUAUUGUACCAUGACGGCUGGGUUACCGAU
rnacentral:ncRNA from 1 species